UACGUAGGGUGCUAGCGUUGUCCGGAUUUAUUGGGCGUAAAGGGCUCGUAGGCGGCGUGUCGCGUCGGGGAGUGAAAGCCCGCUGCUUAACGGCGGGUUGGCUUCCGGUACGGGCAUCGCUGGAGUGCGGCAGGGGGAGACUGGAAUUCCUGGUGUAGCGGUGGAAUGCGCAGAUAUCAGGAGGAACACCGGUGGCGAAGGCGGGUCUCUGGGCCGUUACUGACGCUGAGGAGCGAAAGCGUGGGGAGCGAACAGG
rnacentral:rRNA from 1 species